ACUACCCGCUGCGGAGUGAACGGCGCGGAGCGGAGGCCGCGGAGGCUCCUCGGUCCUUCAGCACCCCUCGGCCCGACGCACCCACGCCCCUCACCCCCCGAGAGCCGAAAAUGGACCCAAGUGGGGUCAAAGUGCUGGAAACAGCAGAGGACAUCCAGGAGAGGCGGCAGCAGGUCCUAGACCGAUACCACCGCUUCAAGGAGCUCUCAACCCUUAGGCGUCAGAAGUUGGAAGAUUCCUAUCGAUUCCAGUUCUUUCAAAGAGAUGCUGAAGAGCUGGAGAAAUGGAUACAGGAAAAACUUCAGAUUGCAUCUGAUGAGAAUUAUAAAGACCCAACCAACUUGCAGGGAAAGCUUCAGAAGCAUCAAGCAUUUGAAGCUGAAGUGCAGGCCAACUCAGGAGCCAUUGUUAAGCUGGAUGAAACUGGAAACUUGAUGAUCUCAGAAGGGCAUUUUGCAUCUGAAACCAUACGGACCCGUUUGAUGGAGCUGCACCGCCAGUGGGAAUUACUUUUGGAGAAGAUGCGAGAAAAAGGAAUCAAACUGCUGCAGGCCCAGAAGUUGGUGCAGUACUUACGAGAAUGUGAGGACGUGAUGGACUGGAUCAAUGACAAGGAAGCAAUUGUUACUUCUGAAGAGCUGGGCCAGGAUCUGGAGCAUGUAGAGGUUUUACAGAAGAAAUUUGAAGAGUUUCAAACAGAUAUGGCUGCUCAUGAAGAAAGAGUUAAUGAAGUGAACCAAUUUGCUGCCAAACUCAUACAGGAGCAGCACCCUGAGGAGGAACUGAUCAAGACUAAGCAGGAUGAAGUCAAUGCAGCCUGGCAGCGGCUGAAGGGCCUGGCUCUGCAGAGGCAGGGGAAGCUCUUUGGGGCAGCAGAAGUUCAGCGCUUUAACAGGGAUGUGGAUGAGACUAUCAGUUGGAUUAAGGAAAAGGAGCAGUUAAUGGCCUCUGAUGAUUUUGGCCGAGACCUGGCAAGUGUUCAGGCUCUGCUUCGGAAGCACGAGGGUCUGGAGAGAGAUCUUGCUGCUCUAGAAGACAAGGUGGGUUUUACAAGCAGCUGAUUCUGUAAAUAAGUUACCAAGGGUCAGGAGAAUAGUUCUGACGGAGUUCAUUUCUAGGUCAAAGCCCUGUGUGCUGAGGCUGACCGCCUGCAACAGUCCCACCCUCUGAGUGCAACACAGAUUCAAGUGAAGCGAGAGGAACUGAUUACAAACUGGGAGCAGAUCCGCACCUUGGCGGCAGAGAGACACGCACGGCUCAAUGAUUCAUACAGGCUUCAGCGCUUCCUUGCUGACUUCCGUGACCUCACCAGCUGGGUGACUGAGAUGAAAGCCCUCAUCAAUGCAGAUGAGCUUGCCAAUGAUGUGGCUGGGGCUGAAGCCCUGCUAGAUAGACACCAAGAGCACAAGGGUGAAAUUGAUGCCCAUGAAGACAGCUUCAAAUCUGCAGAUGAAUCUGGACAGGCACUGCUUGCUGCUGGUCACUAUGCCUCAGAUGAAGUGAGGGAGAAGCUGACCGUCCUUUCCGAGGAGAGAGCGGCGCUGCUGGAGCUGUGGGAGAUGCGCAGGCAGCAGUACGAGCAGUGCAUGGACCUGCAGCUCUUCUACCGGGACACUGAGCAGGUGGACAACUGGAUGAGCAAGCAGGAGGCGUUCCUAUUGAAUGAAGACUUGGGAGAUUCCUUGGAUAGUGUGGAAGCACUUCUUAAGAAGCAUGAAGACUUUGAGAAAUCCCUUAGUGCCCAGGAGGAAAAGAUUACAGCAUUAGAUGAAUUUGCAACCAAGCUAAUUCAGAACAACCACUAUGCAAUGGAAGAUGUGGCCACUCGCCGAGAUGCUCUGUUGAGCCGCCGCAAUGCCCUUCACGAGAGAGCCAUGCGUCGCCGGGCCCAGCUAGCCGAUUCUUUCCACCUGCAGCAGUUUUUCCGUGAUUCUGAUGAGCUCAAGAGUUGGGUCAAUGAGAAGAUGAAAACUGCCACAGAUGAAGCUUAUAAAGAUCCAUCCAACCUACAAGGAAAAGUACAGAAGCAUCAGGCUUUUGAGGCUGAGCUCUCAGCAAACCAGAGCCGAAUUGAUGCCUUGGAGAAAGCUGGCCAAAAGCUGAUUGAUGUCAACCACUAUGCCAAGGAUGAAGUAGCAGCUCGUAUGAAUGAGGUGAUCAGUUUGUGGAAGAAACUGCUAGAGGCCACUGAACUGAAAGGAAUUAAGCUUCGUGAAGCCAACCAGCAACAGCAAUUUAAUCGCAAUGUUGAGGAUAUUGAAUUGUGGCUAUAUGAAGUAGAAGGUCACUUGGCUUCGGAUGAUUACGGCAAAGAUCUUACCAAUGUGCAGAACCUCCAGAAGAAACAUGCCCUGCUAGAGGCAGAUGUGGCUGCUCACCAGGACCGAAUUGAUGGCAUCACCAUUCAGGCCCGCCAGUUCCAAGAUGCUGGCCAUUUUGAUGCAGAAAACAUAAAGAAGAAACAGGAAGCCCUCGUGGCUCGCUAUGAGGCACUCAAGGAGCCCAUGGUUGCCCGGAAGCAGAAGCUGGCCGAUUCUCUGCGGUUGCAGCAGCUCUUCCGGGAUGUUGAGGAUGAGGAGACGUGGAUUCGAGAGAAAGAGCCCAUUGCUGCAUCUACCAACAGAGGUAAGGAUUUGAUUGGGGUCCAGAAUCUGCUAAAGAAACAUCAAGCCUUACAAGCAGAAAUUGCUGGACAUGAACCACGCAUCAAAGCAGUUACACAGAAGGGGAAUGCCAUGGUGGAGGAAGGCCAUUUUGCUGCAGAGGAUGUGAAGGCCAAGCUUCACGAGCUGAACCAAAAGUGGGAGGCACUGAAAGCCAAAGCCUCCCAGCGUCGGCAGGACCUGGAGGACUCUCUGCAGGCCCAGCAGUACUUUGCUGAUGCUAACGAGGCCGAAUCCUGGAUGCGGGAGAAGGAACCCAUUGUGGGCAGCACUGACUAUGGCAAGGACGAAGACUCUGCUGAGGCUCUACUGAAGAAACACGAAGCUUUGAUGUCAGAUCUCAGUGCCUAUGGCAGCAGCAUCCAGGCUUUGCGAGAACAAGCACAGUCCUGCCGGCAACAAGUGGCCCCCAUGGAUGACGAGACUGGGAAGGAGCUCGUCUUGGCUCUCUACGACUAUCAGGAGAAGAGUCCCCGAGAGGUCACCAUGAAGAAGGGAGAUAUCCUUACCUUACUCAACAGCACCAACAAGGAUUGGUGGAAAGUGGAAGUGAACGAUCGUCAGGGUUUCGUGCCGGCUGCUUACGUGAAGAAAUUGGACCCCGCCCAGUCAGCCUCCCGGGAGAAUCUCCUGGAGGAGCAAGGCAGCAUAGCACUGCGGCAGGAGCAGAUUGACAAUCAAUAUCAUUCUCUGCUGGAACUGGGUGAGAAGCGUAAAGGCAUGUUGGAGAAGAGUUGCAAGAAGUUUAUGUUGUUCCGUGAGGCGAAUGAACUACAGCAAUGGAUCAAUGAGAAGGAAGCCGCUCUGACAAGUGAGGAGGUCGGCGCAGACUUGGAGCAGGUUGAGGUGCUCCAGAAGAAGUUUGAUGACUUCCAGAAGGACCUGAAGGCCAAUGAGUCACGGUUGAAGGACAUUAACAAGGUAGCUGAAGACCUGGAGUCUGAAGGUCUCAUGGCAGAGGAGGUGCAGGCUGUGCAACAACAGGAAGUGUAUGGCAUGAUGCCCAGGGUAAGUUUCGGGUGCUGCAUGUGGAUCUUGAACAUGAGAAGGACUUAAAUCUUGGGAAGAAUAUUAAGCCAAGAACUUCUUCAUCAGAAUUGCUGUUCCUGAACCUCAGAUGCCUUUUGUGUGUAAAGAUUUGUGGAAAACACCAAAAAAUUGAUUUCUUUUUUUUUUUUUUGGGACGGAGUCUCACUCUGUCACCCAGGCUGGAGUGCAGUGGUGUGAUCUUGGCUCACUGCAACCUCCACCGCCCAGGUUCAAGUGAUUCUCCCAUCUCAGCUUCCUGAGUAGCUGGAAUUCCAGGCAUGUGGCACCACACCCAGCUAAUUUUUGUAUUUUUAGUAGAGACGGGGUUUCACCAUGUUGCCCAGGCUGGUCUCGAACUCCCAACCUCAGGUGAUCCGCCCACCUCAGCUUCCCAGAGUGCUGGGAUUACAGACGUGAGCCACCGCGCCUGGCCCAGAAAUUGAUUUCUAUUUGCCAUUCUCCAAAAGACAAAAAAAGUUGGU
rnacentral:sRNA from 1 species